GCGGCCGCUCUUGGUACAAAUAAGGAGCCCGCUCGGGACAGGAAGCAACCUCAAGGCCACCCCAAACGGCGUGACACGUAGGAAGAAAACCGGAGCCCUUCUUGAGUCCCACUUUUGGAGUCUCAGCAUCGCCAGGCGCUGGUUUAAGGAGACGCUGAAGUCUUUACUAAGAGUGCCAUCUAGUGGAGCAAAGGGGAAUUGCUCUGAAUUGCCAAAGGAGGUCAAUACAAUCAUAGCCUUGGAAGAGAACACAAGAGUCCAACCCAGGCAUGGGCAAACUUCGGCUCUCCGGGUGUUUUGGACUCCUGUGUUCUCUGUUAUGGUUAAAGGAGGCUGGGUCAAAGCUCUCUGCUGCCCCCAACAGGCUAUAUGGGAUAUUGUAGGGUACAAAAGGAAUGGGUUAGUUUGGGACCACAGCAUUUUAGCAGAGGCAUCUAACCCAGGUAUGGGCAAACUUUGGCCCUCCGGGUUUUUUGGACUCCAACUACCACAAUUCCUAACAGCCUUUAGGCUGUUAGGAAUUGUGGAAGUUGAAGUCCAAAAAACCUGGAGGGCCGAAGUUUGCCCAUGCCUGAUCUAACCCAUUGAAAUUGCACAUUCUAAUGUUCGACCCUUUGCAUGUCAUAUAAUUUGACAGAAAAGAAAAAAUACAGAAAAUGGAUAGUGUAGCAAUAUAUAUAUAUACACACUAUCUGUGCCCGGAGAAAUUGUUGAGGCAGUGGUGGUAUUGAAUGUCUGUUGUAUGGUUGUCUUUAUGUUUAGUAUGCACACUGAAGUGGAUUAUAUGGCAGUGUGGAGUCAAGAUAAUCCAGUUCAAAGCAGAUAAUAUAAGAUUCUAAAUGGGUUAUAUAGCUGUGUGGAAGGGCCUUGAGUCUACCCUGCCGUAUAAUCCAGUUCAAAUCUGAUAAUCUGUGGGGCCUAAGUGAGGCCUAACUGUGCCUGUCCCCUGGGCUGAGUAGGUUGCUAGGAGACCAAGUGGGCGGAGCUUAGUCUUCAAACUGGCAGCAAUUGGAUAAAAACUAUUAUUCCUCUCCCUGUAAUUAGGUCUUUAUUUUUCUUUUCUUUUUUGGUGUAUCAACCUAGAGCCGUGAAUGAUGGGUUGUGUUGUCAAAUUCUGAGUUUGGGGGGCCUGUAGUUUUGUUGUUUUGUCCGCUGCCCUGAUGCCAUCACUCUUUUAUAUAUAUAGAUAGAUAUAUAUUGGUCGCACCAUAAAUUACCAAAUGAGUUCUUAAAGUUUAUAAAGUAUGCUCGACUGCAUCCUUCUCCUUCGCCCAAAUAUUUGACAAUUCUCUCCUAAGUGCUGGACAUCAAGUGGCUGCUCAUAUUGCACAGUUAUAGCACUAUGAUUCCACUUUAAAAUCCAAAGCUGCAUCCUAUAGAAUCCUAGGAUUUGUAGUUUGGUGAGACACUAGAGGUCUCUGGCAGAGAAUUCUACUCACUGCAGACUAAUCCAACCAGAGAAGGCAGCCAUAGCAGAGCACUUGAUGAACCAACCUGGACACAGCAUAUUAUUUGAGAACACAGCAAUGCUGGACCAUUCUAACCACCACGUCAGACUACGCAGAGAAGCCAUUGAAAUCCACAAACAUGUGGACAAUUUUGACAGGAAGGAGGAAACCAUGAAAAUAAACAAAAUCUGGCUACUAGUGUUUUUAAAAACUCAAAAACCAGGACAGUAAAUAAAGAACAACACUCAGAAAACAGAGGAAGUCCAGGCAUGAAUCAAUCAGAGCCAGCUAACACUUCCCAACAAAGGAUUCCGCCAGGUAGUAAGAAGCCAGACCUUGAAGCUGAAGCCAGACCUUGAAGCCAGACCUUGAUUGUUCAAUACCAAUCAAGGUGGCCAAUUGAAACAUUCACACCUGCCCCAAACAGACAAGAAUUCUUUCUCCCACUCUGGACCUUCCACAGAUAUUCCCAUUUGACUAGUUUCCAACAUACCUCACAACCUCUGAGGAUGCCUACCAUAGGUGUGGGUGAAAUGUCAGUAGAGAAUGCUUCUGGAACUUGGCCAUACAGCCCGGAAAACUCACAGCAAUGCAAUUGUACUCACUGCUUCCAAAAAAUGCAAAGCCCUUACAUUCCAUAAGAUGUUGCCACAACAGAGUGGGAUAAUUGUGCUAUAGUUAUGUAGUGUGGAAGGGCCCAGAGGAUGGAUCUACACUGCCACAU
ensembl:lncRNA